rnacentral:rRNA from 1 species
CAGCCGCCGCGGUAACACCGGCAGCUCUAGUGGUAGCUGUUUUAUUGGGCCUAAAGCGUUCGUAGCCGGUUUAAUAAGUCUCUGGUGAAAUCCUAUAGCUUAACUGUGGGAAUUGCUGGAGAUACUAUUAGGCUUGAGAUCGGGAGAGGUCAGAGGUACUCCUGGGGUAGGGGUGAAAUCCUGUAAUCCUAGGAGGACCACCUGUGGCGAAGGCGUCUGACUAGAACGAAUCUGACGGUGAGGAACGAAAGCUAGGGGCGCGAACCGGAUUAGAUACCCGGGUAGUCCUAGCCGUAAACUAUGCGGACUUGGUGUGAGGGUGGCUUUGAGCCGUCCUGGUGCCGAAGGGAAGCUGUUAAGUCCGCCGCCUGGGAAGUACGGUCGCAAGACUGAAACUUAAGGAAUUGGCGGGGGAGCACCACAACGCGUGGAGCCUGCCGGUCUAAUUGGAUUCAACGCCGGAGAUCUCACCAGCGGCGACAGCAGUAUGAUGACCAGGUUGAUGACUUUGUUUGACAAGCUGAGAAGAGGUGCAUGG